rnacentral:rRNA from 1 species
AACGUAGGUGGCGAGCGUUAUCCGGAUUUACUGGGCGUAAAGGGCGCGUAGGUGGCCCGGUCAGUUCGUGGUGAAAGCGCGGGGCUCAACCCUGCGUCGGCCAUGAAUACUGCCGCGGCUGGAGCACUGUAGAGGCAGGCGGAAUUCCGGGUGUAGCGGUGGAAUGCGUAGAGAUCCGGAAGAACACCGGUGGCGAAGGCGGCCUGCUGGGCAGUGCUGACACUGAGGCGCGACAGCGUGGGGAGCAAACAGG